AACCUGGGGAAGAGAACUGUGUCACACGCUGGUGCAGGAUGCGAGAGCAUCUGGAUCUGUCACCGCCCAGCUCUUCCCCAAGUGUCUGGGAUUUGGCCUUUCUGGAUUCUGCCUCUGUCUCUCCAGCUGUGCCCUCUCAGGCUCCCGUGGAGCGGAAGCCCCAACCCAGAACUCCAGACCCCUGUGUCCAAUGGCCUGGUGGAUGGCUCUCCCUGAAUAUCCCACAGGAGAGGAGGGGCCAAGGGUUGCUACGUACCUGGAGAUGGAGUUCUCUGAUGCGAUGUCCUUUGGGGUCCGGACUGUUGUGAAGGUUCAUCCAGUUCCACGCCCACCCACUGGCCGCUGGCGAACUCCGUGGUCCCGCAGAACCGCAGCGUGCCCGUCUGAGGAAACAAGGGAGGAUAUGGCUUGGGUGCACCUUGAGAGGCCAUGAUAAGAUCACCGGCACACAGGCAGCAUGGUGGGAUGGAUGAGGGAGCCCCAGGCUUAAAUCUCAGCUUGGACAUCACCAUUCACUGGUUGUAUAACUUAACUGUACUGUGCCUCAACGUCCUCAUCUGCGAAAUGGGAACAGAAAUCUCACCCACCUUACAGGAUUGUUACAGAGCUGCACUGUCCGAUGCAGUAAAUGGCCACUAGCCACAUAUGACAAUUUAAAUUAACUAAAAUUAAAUUAAAAUAUCAUUUCUCCAAUCACA